rnacentral:rRNA from 1 species
CCUACGGGAGGCAGCAGUGAGGAAUAUUGGUCAAUGGCCGCAGGGCUGAACCAGCCAAGUCGCGUGAGGGAUGACGGUCCUAUGGAUUGUAAACCUCUUUUGUCAGGGAGCAAAGGGCGCCACGUGUGGCGCUUUGCGAGUACCUGACGAACAAGCAUCGGCUAACUCCGUGCCAGCAGCCGCGGUAAUACGGAGGAUGCGAGCGUUAUCCGGAUUUAUUGGGUUUAAAGGGUGCGCAGGCGGAAUGUCAAGUCAGCGGUAAAAUUUCGGGGCUCAACCCCGUCGUGCCGUUGAAACUGGCGUUCUUGAGUGAGCGAGAAGUAUGCGGAAUGCGUGGUGUAGCGGUGAAAUGCAUAGAUAUCACGCAGAACUCCGAUUGCGAAGGCAGCAUACCGGCGCUCAACUGACGCUCAUGCACGAAAGCGUGGGUAUCGAACAGGAUUAGAUACCCUAGUAGUC